GACGAACGCUGGCGGCGUGCUUAACACAUGCAAGUCGAACGGAAAGGCCCUGCUUUUGUGGGGUGCUCGAGUGGCGAACGGGUGAGUAACCCGUGAGUAACCUGCCCUUGACUUUGGGAUAACUUCAGGAAACUGGGGCUAAUACCGGAUAGGAGCUCCUGCUGCAUGGUGGGGGUUGGAAAGUUUCGGCGGUUGGGGAUGGACUCGCGGCUUAUCAGCUUGUUGGUGGGGUAGUGGCUUACCAAGGCUUUGACGGGUAGCCGGCCUGAGAGGGUGACCGGCCACAUUGGGACUGAGAUACGGCCCAGACUCCUACGGGAGGCAGCAGGGGGGAAUCUUGCACAAUGGGCGGAAGCCUGAUGCAGCAACGCCGCGUGCGGGAUGACGGCCUUCGGGUUGUAAACCGCUUUCGCCUGUGACGAAGCGUGAGUGACGGUAAUGGGUAAAGAAGCACCGGCUAACUACGUG
rnacentral:rRNA from 1 species